UACGUAGGUGGCAAGCGUUGUCCGGAUUUACUGGGCGUAAAGGGCGUGCAGGCGGUCUGUUAAGUUCAGGGUGAAAGCUCCCGGCUCAACUGGGAGAGGUCCUUGGAUACUGGCAGACUUGAGGAGGGUAGAGGAGAGUGGAAUUCCCGGUGUAGUGGUGAUAUGCGUAGAUAUCGGGAGGAACACCAGUGGCGAAGGCGGCUCUCUGGGCCCUACCUGACGCUGAGACGCGAAAGCGUGGGAGCGAACAGG
rnacentral:rRNA from 1 species